rnacentral:rRNA from 1 species
UACGUAGGGUGCAAGCGUUAAUCGGAAUUACUGGGCGUAAAGCGUGCGCAGGCGGUUGUGUAAGUCAGAUGUGAAAUCCCCGGGCUCAACCUGGGAAUGGCGAUGGAUACUGGGCAGCUAGAGUGUGUCAGAGGAUGGUGGAAUUCCCGGUGUAGCGGUGAAAUGCGUAGAGAUCGGGAGGAACAUCAGUGGCGAAGGCGGCCAUCUGGGACAACACUGACGCUGAAGCACGAAAGCGUGGGGAGCAAACAGG